rnacentral:rRNA from 1 species
AUGGGUUCCUGGGUUCUUCUUGCCGUGCUCCUCGGGUUCUUGGCGGGAGCGGCGCGCGGCUCCGAGCCGUGGUCCAACGGCACGCAGGUCUACUCCACCAAUGCCAACUCCGGCAGCGGCAGCAACGGCGCCUUCGUCGCCCUCGCCCUCAUCCAGUCCGCGGCCGCCAAGGGAGCCGUAUGCUUGGAUGGAAGCUUACCGGGUUACCACCUACACAGGGGAUCAGGAUCAGGGUCAAACAAUUGGCUUGUCAAUCUGGAGGGUGGAGGAUGGUGCAAUGAUGUUAAAAGCUGCGUGUUCCGCAAGGGUAGUCGGCGUGGGUCAUCAAACCACAUGGAGAGGCAACUCCAGUUUACAGGCAUAAUGAGUAACAGACCUGAAGAAAAUCCUGAUUUCUACAACUGGAACAGAGUGAAGGUUCGGUAUUGUGAUGGUGGAUCCUUCACCGGUGAUGGGGCUGACGCGGCUUCAGGCCUUUAUUUCCGAGGUCAGCGUAUUUGGCAGGCUGCUAUGGAUGACUUGAUGGCCCAAGGAAUGCAUUCUGCUAGUCAGGCCCUUCUUUCUGGAUGCUCUGCUGGGGGUGCUUCUGCCAUACUUCACUGUGAUGAGUUCCGUGGAAUGUUUCCAUCAAAUACCAGAGUCAAGUGCCUCGCUGAUGCUGGAAUGUUCCUUGACUCUGUCGAUAUUGCUGGUCGUCGAGAAAUGAGAGACCUAUUCAAUGGCAUUGUGAGAUUGCAGGGUUCUGGAAGAAGCUUGCCUCGGUCCUGUACCUCUCACAUGGAUAAAACCUCAUGCUUUUUCCCGCAGAACGUGUUGCCAAACAUUCAAACUCCAACUUUUAUUUUGAACACUGCUUAUGAUGUGUGGCAGCUUCAAGAAAGUCUGGCUCCCAGAACGGCUGAUCCCCGGGGUCUAUGGCAAAGUUGCAAGCAGAAUUACGCCUCUUGCAAUAGCAAUCAACUUCAGUUUUUAAAUGGCUUUAGGAAUGAAAUGCUUAACGCCGUGAAGGGUUUCUCAGGGUCAGGGCAGAAUGGGGUUUUUAUCAACUCAUGUUUUGCUCAUUGCCAGAGCGAGAGACAGGAUACAUGGUACUCGAGCAACUCUCCUCGUCUUGGCAACAAGAGAAUCGCUGAAGCGGUCGGUGACUGGUUCUUCGAGAGGGGCAACGCCAAGUACACCGACUGCGCGUACCCUUGCGACGGCACAUGCCAUCACCUUGUGUUCAAGGGGAGGCAUCUCUAA